GACGAACGCUGGCGGCGUGCCUAAUACAUGCAAGUAGAACGCACAGUUUAUACCGUAGCUUGCUACACCAUAGACUGUGAGUUGCGAACGGGUGAGUAACGCGUAGGUAACCUGCCUGGUAGCGGGGGAUAACUAUUGGAAACGAUAGCUAAUACCGCAUAAUAUUAAUUAUUGCAUGAUAAUUAAUUGAAAGGUGCAAUUGCACCACUACCAGAUGGACCUGCGUUGUAUUAGCUAGUAGGUGAGGUAACGGCUCACCUAGGCGACGAUACAUAGCCGACCUGAGAGGGUGAUCGGCCACACUGGGACUGAGACACGGCCCAGACUCCUACGGGAGGCAGCAGUAGGGAAUCUUCGGCAAUGGACGAAAGUCUGACCGAGCAACGCCGCGUGAGCGAAGAAGGUUUUCGGAUCGUAAAGCUCUGUUGUAAGAGAAGAACGGGUGUGAGAGUGGAAAGUUCACACUGUGACGGUAGCUUACCAGAAAGGGACGGCUAACUACGUA
rnacentral:rRNA from 1 species